UACGUAGGGGGCAAGCGUUGUCCGGAAUUAUUGGGCGUAAAGAGCUCGUAGGCGGUUUGUCGCGUCUGCUGUGAAAUCCCAGGGCUUAACCCUGGGCCUGCAGUGGGUACGGGCAAACUAGAGUGCGGUAGGGGAGAUCGGAAUUCCUGGUGUAGCGGUGAAAUGCGCAGAUAUCAGGAGGAACACCGGUGGCGAAGGCGGAUCUCUGGGCCGAUACUGACGCUGAGGAGCGAAAGCGUGGGGAGCGAACAGG
rnacentral:rRNA from 1 species